rnacentral:lncRNA from 1 species
CUGCCCUCAGUGGAGUUGUUCUCACACAAAGCAUCAUGCUUGUGCUUCCUAUGGAAAAGAACAUAACUAAUGUAAAGGUGGGAAAUGGAAGCAGUUGUAAAUGUAUAUUUGAAAUCAAAUACAGGUGCAGGGUAACACUUUCUUGUAGAUAAACUCCACCUCAUAUUCCCCAGACAUCCCUGCACAUCCAUUUGAAGGGAUGGGAGAAGGACAGGACACAUUGUCAAGCUAAAGCCACCAGAGCCAGGAUAUCCCCUUUCUGCUGCAGUGUGAUGUGUGCAUCAGAGGAAUCCAAGGUGAUCCCAUUCUCAUCACGCAGCCGCUGUGGUGAGAAACUUGCUGUGCAGACACGCUCCACAGCCUCCCACAGCACUGAAGCUCUGCCACUGCCUGUGGCCCUGUUCCUGUGACACAUGCCAGCUCCCCAGCCAGCCCAGCAGACAAGAAGGGAUUUGGUGUAGACAGCCUCAAACAGCCUCGUGCCCCAGGCACCCUCACCCGGUGGAUGCUGGAUGCUGGAUGCUGGAUGCUGGAUGCUGGAUGCUGGAUGCUGGAUGCUGGCUCAGCCUCUCCUGCUGUGACACACACUGGCCUGACAGGGCUCCCUCCAAAGCUCAGCCCACAGGUGCUGGCUCUAUUUACUCCAUGCUUCUGAUCAAAGAUGCAUUAAAGCAUCUUCCUAUCUGCAAAUGA